UACGAAGGUGGCAAGCGUUACUCGGAAUUACUAGGCGUAAAGGGCAUGUAGGUGGUUUGGUUAGUCUGUUGUGAAAGCUCCCGGCUUAACUGGGAGAGGUCAACGGAUACUGCCAAACUUGAGUAUAGGAGAGGUUACUGGAAUUCCCGGUGUAGCGGUGAAAUGCGCAGAGAUCGGGAGGAACACCAAUGGCGAAAGCAGGUAACUGGACUAUUACUGACACUCAGCUGCGAAAGCUAGGGGAGCAAACAGG
rnacentral:rRNA from 1 species